rnacentral:rRNA from 1 species
UACGUAGGGUGCAAGCGUUAAUCGGAAUUACUGGGCGUAAAGCGUACGCAGGCGGCUAUGUAAGACAGGUGUGAAAUCCCCGGGCCUAACCUGGGAACUGCAUUUGUGACUGCAUAGCUAGAGUCCGUCAGAGGGGGUGGAAUUCCACGUGUAGCAGUGAAAUGCGUAGAGAUGUGGAGGAACACCGAUGGCGAAGGCAGCCCCCUGGGAUGAGGCUGACGACUCG